rnacentral:sRNA from 1 species
GUUUGUUUAGAGGUGUAAGAAUUUAUACUUAGCGCACGGCUCUAACAAAGCCAUUCCCCUAAGCCCGAACUAGUAAUAGUUUCGGGCAUUUUUUU